UCCCCUCGCCGUUGCCCUCGCCCUCGCAGCCGCCGCCGAUCCCCUCCCCCAUCUUCCUCCCUCAAACGCUAACCCGUCUCGCGGUGCGCCACCGCCCGUCGCGGCCGCCCCCGCCACCUCCCGCCGCGGUCGCCGCCCCAGCUCCAAUCGUGGCCGUCGCGCCCAGAUCCAGCCGCGGCCGCCGGCCCCACGUCCCACCGCGGCCGCUGCCCUGCGCGCCAACGACCCCUUCCCCCGCCGCCGCGCCACAGGUCCACUUCGCCAUGAGCUCCAGCGUCGACCAUCCCGCCGCUGCUCGUGAUCCCCUCUUCCAUCAGCUCCACUUCACCGGAACCUUCCUUUCAGUCAGCUAAACGUCAAUAUGUUGGAUGAUGUUGUGGAGAGGGCCACCGAGAGGGAGUUUGCAUUGCCAAAGUCGAAGGUGGCCAUCGCCUUGACCUGCCUGGACCUCCUGACCUUUCACAAUGCUCAAAUAGGAAACACAUGUUGGAGGAGGAGACCACAAGCUAAUUGAUGAUUUGGAUGAGUGGAUCAGAGGACGACAUGAGCAGAUGUGGAGAGGGUUCUCCUAGCGGUCAUUGCAACUGUGAUAUGCAUUUCCUUGCUCUCGGCUCUGAUCAAGUUUGUAGCGUCUGGGAAUGUGCAUAUGAAAGUCCACACGUGCAAUUUGGUUGUUAUAUUUUUUCCACACUGGUUUCUAGAGAUGUUCAAGUUAUCUCAUAUACUAUAUCGAAUUAUAAUGGAUAAGUUAGUGUACAUACUGAUUCGAAGAUCCUUUUGCUGUCAUACACAUAUUACUGCAGGACCAUAGCGGACUAUUGCAAUGCGGCAAAUCAAAUUUCAAAACUCAGCACUCUUCUAUGUGGAUUAAGUUGUUUAUCUACUUUCACUUUUAAAUUGCUUGUUGAAGACACUUGAUUCACUUUGUGCCUGUUACUUUAAUCUUGCUAAGUGCAUACAGAAAAAAUUCUACUUGCCCCUUGUCAUGCACAAAAUCGAAUAAACCUUGCAAAUUAGUUUACGUGAAUCUGGUCAUGUAGUUAAAUCUUAUUUGGUCUAAGAAAUGAGAUGAAGUUUGUCCCUAGAAUAUAUAAUGGACUGAAAACAAAACCCAAGAUGUGGCAAUUCAAACACCCAAAAGAAAUUACUUGCAUACCUUGUUGAGAUGAUCUUUUUAAAGUUUCUGCGUUUAUCUUUGGUAUCUUUAGUAUCUUCAGCCACAAUACGACCUGCAGGAAGACCGCAGGUGGAGUGUGCUUGGACGGCAGCUUGGCCGCCAGCUGCACGCUCUUUUAGGUGGCCAGGCAGAGAUUCUUUGCCUCGGCAACCGCCUUGGCCUAGAGCCAUGCCAGGUCGUCGUCGCCGAGGAUGGACGCCAGCAACAACAUCGAUCUCUGUGAUACCGAUGAAGUUGGUUGUGGGGCGGGACCAUGGCGGGGCCGCACGUCGAUCUAUGUGAUACCGACGGCGUUGGUUGUGGGGCAAGACCAUGGCGGGGUGGCGCGGGGUCAUGGUGGGGAGAGGACAUGGGCACGAGGCUGUGGAGGCUGACGCGAGAGGAGGUCGGCAGAGCAACGCCGUGGUGGGGACAAGUGACUUGUGUGAGCGGCUGCUGUGCAGUGAGGGGGCUACCUGUACGGUGAGAAGCGGUACGGUGAGGUACCUGUACAUAUAGGAGUGGCUACCUGUACAUUGAGAGCAGUCCUAAAUACGCCCAACAAGUGAUCUAGACGUACCACACGGCACAUGUGGCCAACUAUCCAUGGCACAUGUGACCAACUAUCCAAACGAAGGGCAUGACGGAUGGCACCAGCGGAAAGGUGAGCGCCGGUGGAGAUAAGCGAGAAAAGGAGUAGCGCGAGGCGGUAGGCAGCCUUGAAGAUGAUGAGAGGGCCCGCUGCUGGGGGAUGGUACUAGGGAUUUUUUGAUCAACGAGAGCAGUGUCGGCCCAGGUAUCUUCUUCCAUCUCUGGAUCCUAAACUAUAUAUCUCUCUAAUCUGCAUUGACACGCAGUAGUGCCGGGUACAAGUGUGUGGCUGCUCCAGUGCCACCGCAUGCCCCAGUACCGCCCAAACGUGGAUGCAGGUGGACGUGGGCACCGUGGCCGCCACCAAGGAUGUAGGGGUCCCGCCACAACCGGCGAGGACGCGGUAGGCGUGCCGAAACUGUCAAAGACAUAGGAGCCGUACUGCGGCCUUGGUGUUUUUCCUAAUUUCUUUAGAUAUGUGAGGUCGAUUUAAUAUUCACAUAUAUGCUGAAAUUCAGACACCGAAGAACCAGCAGUGGAGUUAUAUGAAAUUUCUUGCGAGAGCUAUACCAUUCUUUUUAGUACUGACUAAUUCUCAUGAGUACCAAUGGUGAAAUUUUCAGGCCUAAAUACUGGAUGAGAUUCUCAUUGCCGGCAUUCUUCAUGAACCUAUCAAGGAGAACAUUUCAAUACUAAUUGCAGCACAUGUUUUCUCACCACCGGCUAGCAAGAAGAGAGUAUGAUUUUCUAAUGCUCAGUGUUGUAAGCUUGAUUCACGAGGAGCUUCUCAAUGUUGUACAUGUUGUUUGUGAGUAACAGAAAUAAAUCAUUUCCUGGAAUCAGACGCUAUAUUUUCUGUGGGAAUUCGUUGACACAAUUCCUUACAACACUGAGAAUCUUCGAAAUGGGCAAACCGCUCUAUGUAAUUCUAUCAUCCAUUCUGAUUUUGAGACAAGUAUAUCAGUUAUCUUUUUCCUUCUAGCAAGGCUAUCUGGAAUGAUUGCAUGUAUUAAUGAAGUAGUCCACGUUAGGUGGAUUGGCUCAAAAUGGAGAAGCAUGAUUGUAUUAAGCAUUUAAGCUCUAAGCAAUUUAGAGUGUCAAUGUCUUGGGGCUCCCUUGCAAUAUUUCAGAGAACUAUAUUUUUUUUAGACAUUUUAUAUUGCCUCACGAUGUUUGGGGGAUCUGAUUAGCUUUUGUUGGCCGUUCGCACUGAGCAUGUGAUAGAUCAAAAUGCCCCUAGGAGGUCGCAGAGAAGUACUUGACGAUCAAGGUGACCUGGCCAUCAUUCCGUUGGAUGAACACUUAUGGCGCGGACAACCGAAGGUGAUCCAAUGCCUCAUCUACUUCAUCCUUUUCCAGAACGUUCUCAAGAUCAUGCUCUUCUUUUGGAUCCUGGCCAACAAUGAGGCCGCAAGAUUUCUCCAACCCUUACCUUGAUGCAAGAUGUGUUGAAAAAAAUGGGUCUAGUUUCUCCAACUCAUACCUUGAUGCAAGAUGGAAUGAAAAAGAAAUGUGUCCUGAUACAAGUCAAGCCACAUGAUAUUUCUUGGAUUCAAAGAAUUAAAUUUAUUGUCCUAAUGCAUUUUUCAUGACAAGCUUUAGUAUUUUUCUUCCAUACCUUGUUGAAUACAAGCUUUGAACCUUUGUUUUACUUGUGUUAGACGUGCA